CUUAACUACACCCCAAGUCCUGGCUGGUGGCCAGGGGUGCAGGGCUGACUGAUGAGGCUAGUGGAAAUUCCUUCUUUACCUACCACCCUUAGGAAACCUCUCUGCAAACUGGGGAUGGAUGGUAACCGAGGUUCAGAAACAGCAGGGAUCCCAGGACGCCUCUGAGGGGGUAGUAAGAGUUUUAACCUUUACUGAGCUCCUACUGCGUGCCAGAAACUUUAAUAUGGCCUUACACAAUAGUCUGGUAAGACAACUGAUACUCUUCUCUUUAUUUUACAGAUGAGGAAAUUGAGACUCAACGUGGUUGUGAAUUCCCCCCUGUCACGCGGCGAAUUGAGAGAGCAAAAAAUUCACUCUUAGGUGUGACUCUAAAGCUUUGCUCUUUCAUGAAAUCCUGGAACACUGUUCCCAGCUCUCAUCUGGACUGCUUCCCACCCGUUUUGACAGCUAAGGCAGGAGCCAAGACUUGCGUAUGGGAGGUGGGGCCGGCAGCCCGGCACCACGCCCUGGCUCUGGCCUCAGCCAAUGGUGACGCGGCACCCGCAGCCUUUCGUC
rnacentral:lncRNA from 1 species